AUCCAGCUGAAAUGUUCUAAAACAGGACGAAACGAGCGUCCGGGAU
rnacentral:hammerhead_ribozyme from 1 species